rnacentral:rRNA from 1 species
CCUAAAUGCAAGUCGAACGGAGCUAUGUGCGGCACAGGAUGCAUAGGUAAGAAGUCNAACAAAUGCGAAAGCGUAUGUUCGAAAUGCAUCGUGUGCUGUGCAUAACUUAGUGGCGAACGGGUGAGUAACACGUGAGCAACCUGUCCUUCAGAGGGGGAUAACUCUGGGAAACCAGAGCUAAUACCGCGUAAGACCACGCUCUCGCAUGGGAGUGAGGUAAAAGGAGCAAUCCGCUGAAGGAGGGGCUCGCGACCCAUUAGAUAGUUGGUGGGGUAAAGGCCUACCAAGUCAACGAUGGGUAGCCGGGCUGAGAGGCUGAACGGCCACACUGGGACAGAGACACGGCCCAGACUCCUACGGGAGGCAGCAGUGGGGAAUAUUGGGCAAUGGGGGAAACCCUGACCCAGCAACGCCGCGUGAGGGAAGAAGGUUCUUGGAUUGUAAACCUCUGUCCUUGGGGACGAAAAAAAUGACGGUACCCAGGGAGGAAGCCCCGGCUAACUACGUGCCAGCAGCCGCGGUAAUACGUAGGGGGCGAGCGUUGUCCGGAAUUACUGGGCGUAAAGGGAGCGCAGGCGGAUCUGUAAGUCGAUUGUGAAAUCCCCGGGCUUAACCCGGGUUGGUCAGUCAAAACUGCAGACCUUGAGUGCGGGAGAGGAAAGUGGAAUUCCUAGUGUAGCGGUGAAAUGCGUAGAUAUUAGGAGGAACACCAGUGGCGAAGGCGACUUUCUGGACCGUAACUGACGCUGAGGCUCGAAAGCGUGGGGAGCAAACNGGAUUAGAUACCCUGGUAGUCCACGCCCGUAAACCAUGGGAUACUAGGUGUAGGGGGUAUCAACUCCCNUCUGUGCCCGUAGUAAACCNCAAUAAGUAUUCCCGCCCUGGGGAGUACCGGCCCGCNNGGUUGAAACUCAAAGGGAAUUGACCGGGGGCCCCCCCNCAANGCCGCCGGAACCAUGUGGUUUUAAUUCNAAACCAACCCNAAANAAACUUUACCCAAGNCUUUGACCAUCCCUGCUUAAACCCUAAAAAAUUUGGUGUUCCCCUUUCCNGGGGAANCCAAAAAACAGGUGGGUGCCAUGGUUNGUCCCCCNCCUCCUUGUUCCUGAAAAUUUU